CAGCACCUCAAGUGUCAGGAUGAUUAUUGGGCCUAAAGCAUCCGUAGCCGGCGCUGUAAGUUUUCGGUUAAAUCUGUACGCUCAACGUACAGGCUGCCGGGAAUACUGCAGCGCUAGGGAGUGGGAGAGGUAGACGGUACUCGGUAGGAAGGGGUAAAAUCCUUUGAUCUAUUGAUGACCACCUGUAGCGAAGGCGGUCUACCAGAACACGUCCGACGGUGAGGGAUGAAAGCUGGGGGAGCAAACCGGAUUAGAUACCCGAGUAGUCC
rnacentral:rRNA from 1 species